CUAAACCACCAAUCCCAUCCUUCCCCUCCAUGUAUUACCAGAAUUUAUCAUGUUUGGCUCAAGUCAUUCAAGUUGACAGAGGCACACAUGUAUAUAUAUAUAUAUAUAUAUAUAAAGUUUGAAUAGAAGAAUAUACUUAGAGAGCAUGAUGGAAAACAGAGCUAUAAAAUUGCCACCGGGAUUCAGAUUCGAACCCACAGAUGAAGAGAUAGUGUUUCAGUACCUCACUAGUAAAAUAUUCUCCUCUCCUUUGCCUACUUCAGUUGUCCCUGAUAUCCUCACUCUUUUCCAAUUAUGAUCCUUGGGAUUUGCCUGCUGGUGAUGGUAGGGAGGAGGAUAGGUACUUGUUUACAAAGAAGGAAGGCAAGUACCAGAAGAAUGGAAAAGGAAGUAACAACAGGACUACCAGCUCUGGUUAUUGGAAAGCAACUGGCCCUGACAAAAAGAUUACAUCUCCAACAAGAAAAGAUGAUUUAAUUGGGAUGAGAAAGACACUGGUUUUCCAUACAGGGAAGCCUCCAAAUGGUUCAAGAACUCUUUGGAUCAUGCAUGAAUAUCGCCUUGUCAAUGUCAACUCAGCAGCAGCAGCAACUCAACACAAGGAUUCAACUCAAAAGACUCUGGUCCAAAUCGGAAACUGGGUUCUCUGUCGCAUAUUCUUGAAGAAACGAAGUUCAGAAAACGACGACGAUGCUAAUGAAAUUAGUGAACGCCAGGAGGCUCGCAAAGGUGGAAGAGUUGGGUUGGUUCAGCAUAGAGCCCAUGAUUUCAUGGUGAGAGACUUGGAUGAUUCAUCAGGACCCACCUCUCCAUCCUCUUCUUCUUCCACUUCAUCUUGUGGUUCCAGCCUUAUCAUUGAGGUCACUUCAAAUGGGCUUUAGUCUGUUAGAUAGAUCAUCAAGAAAACCACUCUCAGUUGGCCUGUAGUAGUUUCUUUAUUUUUAUUUUUAUCUCCUUAUAUCAUUAAUUAUCAAGGAAACCCAUGAAAGCUCUUUCUUUGUGUCUAUGCCUUCUUUGGUAAUUUAUGAAACCUCUAGAGAGGAUCUUGAGGGAUUUCUUAGUGAUGUGUAAAGAUUUUGUCAACUCUAAUUAAUUGAAUGCAUUUUUAUAAAUAA